UAGUUCUAAUAUAGAUCCUUUUAUGAGUGAGUCUGAUCCAGUGAGUGUUAGAUGUGAGUCUGUAAUUCUUGUGUCUGAUUUUCAUAACUUCAGUUGUUCUUUGAUUGUAAAUAAUGAGAGUUCUUCUUGUGAUACGUGUUCUGCUUGCUGCAAAAACCUCUUCCGACGCUUGAAUCUUCAAAAAACAGUGAGAGAUUCGGUUCCAAUUUCACAGAUCUAUGUUCCGAUUGUUCGAUUUGGGUUCGAAUAGUGUAGAAUCUGGAAAUAUGAAGCAGAAAUCGUUGAAAACAUGAAACGAAUAUCGGAUUUCAGCUGUUGAUCUUGUGAAUCGGCUUUAUUCAGAUUCGCUUACAAGGAUGAGGUUUAUUAAGAUCCGUCAAGCAAAUCUCCAAUGGCGUCUUGUUGAACGACACUCACAACAACAAGUAUCUCAUACGACGUGUUUUUGAGCUUCAGAAAGGAUGGAAGAAAACUCAAGAGAUACUUCACUUCCAAUGAACGCCGGUGGUAGUGGUGGUGGCGGCAACGAUGGCGAACUGCUCCAAGAUAUAGUUGGUGGAGUGUUAGACAACAAUAUUGACGGCGGUGGUGGUGGCGGCAACGGUGGCGGACUGCUCUAAGAUAUAGUUGGUGGUGGCGGCAACGGUGGUGGACCGCUCCAAGAUAUAGUUGGUGGAGUCUUAGACAACAAUGACAUCAGUGGAGCAAAACCAACGUCACCACUUUUGUUAGACUCACCACCGGAAAUGAUAUAUGAUGAACCGCGGUGGUCGUGGUAUUUUGAUUAAAGAUGAUGCUGAUAGGAGAAUCUAUAUAUACAAUAUAUAAUAUUGUGUACGGUAUUUUCAUUAUAAUAUUGUGUACGGUAAUUUCAUCGAUCAUUAUCCUCCUAUAUAAUAAAGGAAAAGUUGAUAGGCCACGUGUCCUCA